UCCCUGGUGGCUAAGUUUGUAAAGAAUCCAACUGCAAUGUGGGAGACCUGGGUUUGAUCCCUGGCUUGGGAA
rnacentral:tRNA from 1 species